rnacentral:rRNA from 1 species
GACGAACGCUGGCGGCGUGCUUAACACAUGCAAGUCGAGCGGUAAGGCCCGUUUCGGGGGUACACGAGCGGCGAACGGGUGAGUAACACGUGGGUGACCUGCCCUCAGCUUUGGGAUAAGCCUGGGAAACCGGGUCUAAUACCGGAUAUGACUCCAUGACGCAUGUUGUAGGGGUGGAAAGCCUUGUGCGGCUGAGGAUGGGCCCGCGGCCCUAUCAGCUUGUUGGUGGGGUGAUGGCCUACCAAGGCGACGACGGGUAGCCGGCCUGAGAGGGCGACCGG